CAGUAGCCGCGGGAAAACGUAGGGUGCGAGCGUUAAUCGGAAUUACUGGGCGUAAAGCGUGCGCAGGCGGUUCGUUAAGACAGAUGUGAAAUCCCCGGGCUUAACCUGGGAACUGCAUUUGUGACUGGCGAGCUAGAGUAUGGCAGAGGGGGGUAGAAUUCCACGUGUAGCAGUGAAAUGCGUAGAGAUGUGGAGGAAUACCGAUGGCGAAGGCAGCCCCCUGGGCCAAUACUGACGCUCAUGCACGAAAGCGUGGGGAGCAAACAGGAUUAGAUACCCGUGUAGUCCCUGUCUCUUAUAC
rnacentral:rRNA from 1 species